CCCACGAGUACAUUAAUAUAAAAUUUCUGAAGAAUGCUUGCGCCCAUAUAAACACUAUCACAUUUUUGCGGUCAAAUAAUAACUACUGAUGAGGGCCUGCUGAGUUCCUCCAGCAUUUUGUGUGUGUUGCUUAUUAGGGUUCCUAGUUAAACGAAUCUCUCACAUGUAGCGCAAGGUUACUAGAGCAAUUCCAUAGUUAACAUGACACACUGAUUUUGUUUUUCAAAAGAAACUGCAAGAUUUCAUGUGAAAUGUGCUGAUUUUGACCGUGAAGAGAGUUUGCGGAAAGAAGGGGAGCUGAACGGGACGGACAGACACCACGUGAAGUGGAGGGAGUUUCAUGGGUUGAGAUCCGGCUAGGUUUUGGACUCUAAUUUCAUUUCGGAAUCUCAGCCUGAACUUCAUUCGUCUUUCUAACAGGAUUAAAUAUUGUGCUUGGAUUUCUUCGAACAUUAUUGAUUAUUUGGAUUAUAGGAAUUUGUUCUUUCAGUAUACCGUACUAUGUGGCUGCAGGUUACCCAUCUCUUCCAAAACCUUGGUAGACAUUGCAAUGUACAAGUAAAUACAUGGGUAAAAACUAAAGCAGGUUUGGCCAGGCAACAAUUUAUGCUCCACACCAGGAGCCUGAUUCUUUCGCCAUGUCCAAGGACUGAAGAAAAUAAUGUCAGGCCUGACAAAAUAGAUUUAGAUUUUUGGAAGACUGUCCUGAGAGAAACUACAACUGAAGCUUCCAAACAAUUACCCUCUGAAGGCCUUGGGGACUCGUCCCUUGCUGCCACAAGAGAACUAAUUCAAAUGUGGCAAUUAGCUGGGAAGGUUGUUCCAGAAAACAUAACAGAUGAACAGUUAAAAACCUUUCAAGAACUGUCUACUAAAUCUGCAAAGAAAAAGUACCUGAAGCAUUUAGCAAUCAAGGAAGGGAAAAAGAAAGCUACAAAAGAGAAACAAAAAUUAAAGCAAGAAGCAAAGCUGUUACAUAAAGAAGUCAAAUGUGAGGAAGGAGUUGCAUUAAAGAAUACUUUUCUUUUACAACUAUGGCAACGGUCUUUUGAUCUAAUGUACAAUUGGAGGGCAGCCCAAUCUAUGGUAUUUGGACAGCCACUGGUGUUUGAUAUGAGUUAUGAACACUAUAUGAACCGUAGAGAAAUGGAGAAUACUGUCUCUCAGCUGAUGGAGGGUGAAGGAUGCAACAGGAGAUCCUUGGACCCAUUUCACUUGCAUUUCUGUAAUCUUGGCUCAGAUGGAGGCUAUCAUAGAGAGCUUUUGAAACGCUAUGGAGAUGCUUGGCAUAAUCUCUUAAUUACGGCAACACAUGAGUCGUAUGUUGACAUUUUUCCCAAAGACAAGCUUGUGUAUUUAACUGCAGAUUCUCCUUUUGUACUGAACACAUUUCAGCAUGAUAAAGUCUACAUCAUUGGAUCCAUUGUUGAUAAAUCAAUCCAAACAGGAUUAUCUCUUGCAAAUGCAAAACGUUUGAAGUUGGCAACUGCACGUCUUCCUUUGGACGAGUAUUUGAACUGGAACAGCGGUGCAAAAAAUCUUACGUUGAACCAAAUGAUCAACAUUUUAUUGACUGUGAAAGAAACUGGCAACUGGCACAAGGCCCUCAAAUUUGUUCCACAAAGGAAACAUGAAGGAUUUUUAUCAGUCCCAUUACAACAAAGAUACAGUAGUAGAAUCAGAAAACAACAUACGUUAAAUAACAAUGAACCAGAAAAGAAAGCUAAAUGGCAAAAGUCAACUUCAGAUGCAAAUCUUCAUAAAAGAAAACAAUGGUGGAUGGAUGUAGAUUAAAGAUCCCAAAAAUAUUUUAAAUACUGAUUCUACUACAAAAAUUACCUUUAUUGAUUCUCUUCAAUCUUCAUGAUGGAUUGCUGUCAAAUAAUGUAAAUUUUGAAAAUGAUAAAAAUAUAAUUUUAAAGCACACCUUCCCCUGUUCGGUGCACUGAUUAUAAACAACAAUUGUCAGAUUCCAGCAUCUGCAGCCUUGUGCAGCUCGAUGCCUCAUAAUGUUCCGCACCACCAUCGCGCCAAAUGUGAUAGGGAGACAAUUUGGAUCUGAAAAUUGGGCAUCUAAAGGCACUGAGGACCAUCAACAGCUGAAGAAAUGUACACUUCUACUAGCUGUGUCCUCGUGGCCUGACAUAUCCCUCACUCCACAUUACAAUCAGACCUGCCAUCACUGAAGGUGGAAAUGUUGAUGAACCUGCCCUCUGUUAGCCCUUUAUUCUCUAUAAUCAUUCACAGCUGGCAGUACUGCUGCACUUGAUAUGAUCUAUUAGUUGCAGACUGCUUGGUUCUGUCCGUUGCAUGUGCUCUUCUGCACGGUAAGCAUGUGAUCCUAUUUUACAGUUCUGAUGGUUGAUGCGUUUUUAGAAAUGCCUGGUACUGUCUCAACAUGUCUCAUUCUGUUGCUUACGGAGGCAGGGUCAUAUUAAAAAAGGCUGUGCGGCAACACCCAGAGCUAAGAAUUCUCAUUUGAACUGUCCAGUUUAGCACAACAUUAACAAACAAUAAAAAUGACUCACAUCCUUGUUCACAUUGAUCAACAAGCAACUGUAGAUAAAGAAUAAUGGAGAGCAUUGUAGAUGUCUGGAUCACAAAUGUGAGAAUACACAACUUCACCGCUUGGUGACUGAAUGACAUUAGGCGCAGGGCUGUCCCAUAGUUGGCCAGCUACAUUGCACAAGCGUCUGUGGACAGGAAGACGGCGAUCAUGUUCAAGCUAGUGAUGGGGCUAGAAUCACAGAUAAAAUCACAGGUACUACUAAUACUGUGGUUUGUAACCUACAUUCAUAAUUGAAGGAAAUGCUAAGUUUCAGUUAGAGGUUAGUGAAAAUAAAAGAUGUAAUUUUUUCCCAUCCACUUUCACGGAUCUCCAAGGGGACUGUGGACUCCAGGUUUAAAAACCCCUGCUCUAGUGGAUUCACCUGUAGCAAUAAUUGGAAAUAGUCUUGCUCCUUGAUGACUGGUUACAGUCGAGAAGCAGGGCUGUGUAUAAAUGACAACAUGGUGCAGCAGAAUAAACCAAACCCACUGAACAGCUGAGUUCAAACUUUGUCAACUGGCUGGACUAUACCCUUUGCAGAAACAUUCAAACUUGCACUCUGUGGCCUCUAUCCCUACCACCGAUCCCACAAUGUCUUUGACCCACUACCAUCAGGAGGGAGGGACAGAAGCUUUAGGACUAAGACUACCAGACUGGGUAACAGCUUCUCCCCUCAGGCUGAGAGACUAAUGAAUACUCUGGCAUCACUAAGGCAGUGGGCUGUUUACUGUUCACUGUGCUGCGCACUACAUUUUGAAUUGUAUAUUAUUAACUUAUGGUAAUAUUUUGUUUUAUGUGGUGUGUGUAAUAUACGUUUUGUGGGUGCACCAUAGUCUGGAGGAACUUUGUUUCAUUUGAUUGUAUACAUGUACAGUCAGAUGAUAACUUAAACAUGAACUGUCAGCUUGAACCAGUCUGGCCAUUCUCUUCUGACCUCUCAUUAAGAAGGCUUUUUCGCCCAUUGAACCACUGCUCGUUGGAUUUGUUUUUUUUUUUUUUUUUUUGGUUUUUCAUACCAUUCUCUGUAAACUCAAGACUUGUGCAUGAAAAUACCAGGAGAUCAGAAGUUUCUCAAAUACUCAAAGCACCCCAUCUGGCACCAACAAUUCCACGGUCAACGUCACUUAGAUCGCAUUUCUUCCCCAUUGUGAUGUUUGGUCUAAACAACACCAGAAUCUGGACUACAUCUGCAUGCUUUUAUGUAUUC